CACGUAGGGUGCGAGCGUUGUCCGGAAUUAUUGGGCGUAAAGAGCUCGUAGGCGGUGUGUCGCGUCGGCCGUGAAAACCUGCAGCUUAACUGUGGGCUUGCGGUCGAUACGGGCAUCACUGGAGUUCGGCAGGGGAGACUGGAAUUCCUGGUGUAGCGGUGAAAUGCGUAGAUAUCAAGAGGGAACACCUGCGGCGAAGGCGGGUUGCUGGGCCGACACUGACGCUGGAAGCGCGAAAGCUAGGGGAGCGAACGGG
rnacentral:rRNA from 1 species